CAAGCGGUGGAGCAUGUGGUUUAAUUCGAUGCAACGCGAAGGACCUUACCUACUCUUGACAUCCAGCGAACUUAGCAGAGAUGCUUUGGUGCCUUCGGGAACGCUGAGACAGGUGCUGCAUGGCUGUCGUCAGCUCGUGUUGUGAAAUGUUGGGUUAAGUCCCGCAACGAGCGCAACCCUUAUCCUUUGUUGCCAGCGAUACGGUCGGGGACUCAAAGGAGACUGCCGGUGAUAAACCGGAGGAAGGUGGGGAUGACGUCAAGUCAUCAUGGCCCUUACGAGUAGGGCUACACACGUGCUACAAUGGCGCAUACAAAGAGAAGCGACCUCGCGAGAGCAAGCGGACCUCAGAAAGUGCGUCGUAGUCCGGAUCGGAGUCUGCAACUCGACUCCGUGAAGUCGGAAUCGCUAGUAAUCGUGGAUCAGAAUGCCACGGUGAAUACGUUCCCGGGCCUUGUACACACC
rnacentral:rRNA from 1 species